GAGACAGCAGUAGCCGCGGUAAUACAGAGGGUGCGAGCGUUAAUCGGAUUUACUGGGCGUAAAGCGUGCGUAGGCGGCUUCUUAAGUCGGAUGUGAAAUCCCUGAGCUUAACUUAGGAAUUGCAUUCGAUACUGGGAAGCUAGAGUAUGGGAGAGGAUGGUAGAAUUCCAGGUGUAGCGGUGAAAUGCGUAGAGAUUUGGAGGAAUACCGAUGGCGAAGGCAGCCAUCUGGCCUAAUACUGACGCUGAGGUACGAAAGCAUGGGGAGCAAACAGGAUUAGAUACCCCUGUAGUCCCUGUCUCUUAUAC
rnacentral:rRNA from 1 species